rnacentral:rRNA from 1 species
ACGGGGGGCCUACGGGAGGCAGCAGUGGGGAAUAUUGCACAAUGGGCGAAAGCCUGAUGCAGCCAUGCCGCGUGNNNAAGAAGGCCUUCGGGUUGUAAAGCACUUUCAGNUGUGAGGAAG